UACGAAGGGGGCUAGCGUUGCUCGGAAUCACUGGGCGUAAAGGGUGCGUAGGCGGGUUUUUAAGUCAGAGGUGAAAUCCUGGAGCUCAACUCCAGAACUGCCUUUGAUACUGGAAGUCUUGAGUAUGGGAGAGGUGAGUGGAACUGCGAGUGUAGAGGUGAAAUUCGUAGAUAUUCGCAAGAACACCAGUGGCGAAGGCGGCUCACUGGCCCAUAACUGACGCUGAGGCACGAAAGCGUGGGGAGCAAACAGG
rnacentral:rRNA from 1 species